rnacentral:lncRNA from 1 species
GUUUCUGUGCUAUAAUAUAACUAAGAUUUGACCUGCAGGGUCUACCCCUCUAAAGAAAACUUAUCUCCUUAAAUGUUUAAUUCUGAAAUUUUUUUCACUAGAGUGGAAAAAUUCUAAAUGGAAAUACGACAAAAGCAAAUGAUGUUAAGGAGGAACUCCAUUCUGCACAGGAGCUGCUGCUGAAUUUGGUGGUGCUGAAUUCUGAGACUGACUGCAGAUUUCCAACUUCCAUGGCUGAAUCAUUUUUUCUAAGUUAACUUCCAUUAUGAAUAUGAAAAGUUUUGUCAGAUUCCUAUCUCAUGGAAAUGAUGGUGAAGAAAGAAGAGAUAAUGUGCAUGAUUAUCUGUUGUGGAAACACCUAACGUAAGAAUAAGAAUUUCCUU